UACGUAGGGCGCAAGCGUUGUCCGGAAUUAUUGGGCGUAAAGAGCUCGUAGGCGGCCAGUUGCGUCUGCUGUGAAAUCCCGGGGCUCAACCCCGGGCGUGCAGUGGAUACGGGCUGGCUAGAGGCAGGCAGGGGAGAACGGAAUUCCUGGUGUAGCGGUGAAAUGCGCAGAUAUCAGGAGGAACACCGGUGGCGAAGGCGGUCUGCUGGGCAGUAGCUGACACUGAGGCGCGACAGCGUGGGGAGCAAACAGG
rnacentral:rRNA from 1 species